GGCUUAAAAAACUGUGAGCUGGCUCACACUCGCUCAGCUUAGAGGGAACACCGCUCUGGAUACCACCCUUGACGUUGGUUCUGGCAGCGUUUUGAUUCGUGUAAAAGGGCUGCUGUUGGUGUGUGUCGUCCCCCGUCCCCCCCUUCUUGAAUAAUGUGCAGAAUGAAUACACGCAGCUAUGCACGGCCGGGAGAUGUUUUGAAGGCUAGCGCUCAUAUGAGAUCAUAAUCGUAAUCUAUGUCGCUGUGGAUCCUUCACUAAAUAUCGAACCAUUUGUGGGGUCGUUUGAAGGGGCUAUUUUCUUUCUUAGAUAUGUUUGGAAGUGCCUGGCCUGAUUUGCACCACUUCACAAGUGACUUUGCCGGGGGCAGUGGUGAUACUCACUAGCAACUUGGCAGGAGCUGCUCCUGGCACUGUUGGAGAACCGCAGAGGCCUCUGCAAUAAUGUCGAGGCACAUCAUCUUAUUUUGCAUGGAACUCAGCCAAAUCAGAAGCAGCCAUCUAUGCGGUGCUUAGCAGCAUCGGAACUGCCGCUUCAGACUUGGCCAAGCAUCCUGGUUUGCAAAUACUCCUCAAACCAAGGUUCCACAUACUGAGAGUGGCUUCCCCUUUACCACGUUUUAGCAUGUUAGCUAUUGUUAAACUUUACAUUUGCUGAAGUAAAGCAAAUUCAUUUGUCCCUCUAUGUUUUUACCCACAUCCAGGGCUUUUUGUGUAGAAAAAGCCCAGCAGGAACUCAUUAGCAUAAUAGGCCAUACCCA